GUUAGUGCCAUUGCUUUAAAUAAUUUUUUUAAUUUUCAAAAUAAUAUACUGCAACCAUUGAAAUACAUCUAAACAGACGCGGCACGGUAUGAUAUGCAGUAAUGUGUCAUAUUGAUUGCACCAAAUAUAGCAGCGGUUUUCCUUAAAAAAAUUGGACAAAGGCAGAGAUAAGCCCCCUAGUCACAAAAGAGUAAAAGUGCGCUAUAGCAUUAACUCAAGAAACCACAACAACAUUUGAAAUGAACUAGUCUAAGCGCCAUAUAAGGAAUCAAUUAAUCGACAUUGCCGAAUCACUGUGAAAAAGCUCUGACCUGUAGUGAGUUGUGAGAUGAUAUGCAAUCGGCGAAGAUGCUGAAAAACAACGUCACAUCAACACAAAAUCAAUGCCACUAAUGUAUGUCAUACAUUGGAGGAACACUGCGAAGGAAGCUUUAGUCCACACCGAGUUGUUAUCCCUGAGAGAGUUGGUGGUAUACGAUUAAUUGAAAAAUAAAUAAAUAAUUAUAAACAAUGCUUGAAGAAAUAACUUGGCUGCUCUGUUUAGGUGACUUACAAGUAAUCUCACUUACCACUGUUACGUGCUAUAAAAAUACAAAAACUUUUUAUAUAGAAAAUGUGCUACAGUUGUCACUUUCGGUACUUCAAAAUUGGUUUAAAGUUUAUCCUUGCAGGAUAAAAUUUAAAUAUAUAUAUAAACACA